CAUAAUAUAAUUUUAUUUUUAAAAUUCUGCAUGCAUGUAUACAAAUAUAUUUUUCUGGGUAAAAAUAAUGCAAGAUGGAGACAGCAGUAGGAAAAGUAUUUUCUCUGGGUGGUGGAAUUUCUUUUUUGGGGGGCAUUCCAGUUUUUAAAAUUAUUUUUAUUUAAAUUCUAGUUAGUUAACAUACAGUGCAGUGCUGGUUUCAGGAGUAGAAUUCAGUGGUUCAUCACUUACCUACCGCACCCAGUGCUCAUCACAACUCGUGUCCUCCCUCAGACCCAUCUGGGGGGUGAGAUUUCUAAUUAUUAAACAUUUUCCUUUUACUUUUAUGAAAUUUCUAUCCUUUCUACAGUGAAGUUGUAUUACUUGGAUAAUUAAAAAAGCAAAGGGGGGAAGCUAGCCAGCUGAUACUCACAUGAAAUAUUAUUAGUAAAGAGAUGGUCCGUCCUAAGAGAGGGGUAGCCAGGAAGACAGAGGAGAUGUGCGUACAGACAACAAAACCUUCGGUGGGGCUUGGGAAGCUUUACUAAAGUGUAAGAAUUGAGAGAAAUCCAAGCCAAAACGUUCUAUAUGGAAAAGGCUGCCAAGGGUGCCAGCGCCCAUCGCAGGCAGAAGGUUUUCCCAAGCACAGCAUCCCAUAAGGUAAAGAACAGAAACAGAAAUAAUCUCAAAGGAAUAUGGAUAUUAAAAUAAACAUAACCUUGGAAGGACUAUGUGAUGCUGCUGCUGGUUUGGGGAAGUGAAGAAGACUUCUGUCCUCUGGGAGUGGUAAGAGACAGGGCGGCAUAGUAAAAAGAUCUCUGUAGCAUUAGACGUUCUUGAAUGUGAGGGCAGGGUCUGCCCCUCAGAUCUAGUAACCUGAUUACUGAGGUUACUAGGUUACUAGGUUACCUCAGACUAAUAACCUGAUUACUGAGAUGUCUCUGAUGCUCAGUUUUCUCAUCUAUAAAAUGGGGAUAAGGUUACUUACUUUGGAUGCUUGGUAUAUUGAAUUAUCCAAAGAAAGUCUGUGAACACAUGUGGAAAAACAUAUCUGUAUGCGUGUAUAAGUAUAUAUAUACACAUAUGUACAUAGUAUCAGGCACAAGUGAACCUGGGGUUGGUUAGGAAAGAAAUGGGGCUGGAUCUUGAGGAAUUAAUUCGGUCUGUACAUGUGGAGCACGAAACACAACAGGCAGAGGGGCACAGAGUACUUGUGUCUACCUUCACAGAGCUGACACACGGCACCUUACAGGGAAGCCAAAAUCUGGAUCAUGGAUCCGCAGGCGGGAGGGAGACAGAUAACAAACCCCUCCCUCCUGCAUUACGAGGGAGGCUGGGAAAAGCCAGAGGAGAAAAAUAACAAACCGUCCACAGAGAAUUAUUCGAUUUUAUUCGAUCAACAAUGAUCACAGCCUCAUUUUUCUUCUCCCGAUCAUCCAAGCCCAUUACUGGGGAGGGCAAUGCAGGCGCGGAGAAUCGAGAAGGUGGGGCUGGGAAGCUGGUAAAAACCCCAAACGUUCCUGUGUUUAUUUCUGCCUGCUUGUCCGGGACCAGUGUUUCACAAAAGGAGUGAGAAAUGAGUAACCACAUGCUGGGCAAGAUGUUCCUGAGAAUGUCAGGAAGCUUGUUUGUCAACCUUAAUUGACAACCGAUGUUUCAGGACAAAGUGUGAUUCUCAUAAUUUAAUGGGACAGCAUUGCUACUUAAUGCCAGAGGGGGCAAGAGCGACUAUAGGGCCAAAGCCUGUAGAGAGGAGAAAUAUGGACAAAAUAAUCCCCUUUUUGUUUUAGGAAAAUGUAAAGUGGUGCCCCAGGGAUUGUUGGCAAAUAUUAUCAUCUUUGAAAGCUACUACUUAACACAAAUUCAGGGAAACCAGAGACUUCUGGGUAGUGUUAAUCACAAGGAAAGAAUGCCCUAUUCUGUGGCUGCAACUUUUUAAUGGAAUACUGGUUGAUUUUGAGUGAAGAAGGCCAGGGGUCAGGGUCAGUUUGGGAGAAUUUCCUGCCUGUUUCUCUCAAGGCGCCUCUGCAAGACGCUUCUUUCUUGGCCGUCUUGAAAAGUUUCCUGGGAUCACCCACAUGUGGGAGCCACCCAUACCUCUAGGGGCAGGGCUCCCCUUUUUCUCUACAUGGCUUAACUGAGGGUAGAGCUCAAUAGCUCUGUGUGGACCUCUGUGUGCUGCGAUGGCUUCUGAAGAUCUUUUCUGCGUCAGUUCCUAAUGAAGAGUUCUGUGGUAGGAAAGGGCAGGGUGGGGACUGGGGCAGAAGGGUGCUUCCAAAGAGAGGGCCAGACUUGGAGGGCUCAACGUUUCUAUUAGAGUCAAGGAAUGAUAAACAGCAAUUUGGGGUUCAAGCAUCGGUGGAGGGCAGGUGUGCAGGGGAUGAAGCUGGGAAGAGUUUGGGACCUCCUAGCGCUUAGGGAGAGGAGCUGGCCCCAGCUAGGAUGGAGAGAGUGCCCCUAGAAGUCCCCUCCUGGAUCUGUACCGGUGCAAAUAUGGUGGAAGGGGGAGCCUGAGGAGAGGGAGGUCAGUUAGGAGAAGGAGAGAGUGAGGGGGAAGGGCAGGACUUGCCAGGGUGGAGCACACAGAGAGGAGGGGGACCCAGCGACAUCAAGAACGUGGAAUGGAUAGGAUUUGGUGAUUUCAGUGCAAAUGAUGAAGGAAGAUGAGGCAAGCCCCAUUGGAUGCCGGUGGUGCUCUUUACCCAACAGGAGCAGGGAACUUCUUAUUUACUUCUCUGAUAUUUUCUCUGUACGCUGAUGCUUAUUUUUGGCUGCUAGUGGAAUCUGAAACGGAGAAAGCUAAAGAUGGCUGACUGGUUGCUGCCCCAUUGCUGACAGGAAGAGAGUAGAUAGAACAGCCACUGCUUUCCCUGUGAGCCAGCUUUGUUCCUGGGGGAAAGACACGUAUCCCAGCACGGAAUCACGAGAUCACCUGGCAGCUGUGGACUGGAGGUGUGGCCAUGUGCCCUUAUGCCAGUCUACGCCAUGUGUGCAGAAGGGAGUUGUGCUGCAUCCUGGCAAGGGCCUUUGAGACCUCUCCUGUGCUAGGCUUUAUGCUUUUCUUCCUACCGGCCAACUGAGUUGAGACCUUGGAAACCAAGUCUGAAAGAUCCUGGUGCUGCCAUGAACACAGGCCUCCCUACUCUCCAGAAUCGCAACCUGGACUGUUAUGCGAGUCAGAAAUAAACAUUUAUUAUGUUGAGUCA